rnacentral:rRNA from 1 species
UCCAGACUCCUACGGGAGGCAGCAGUGGGGAAUAUUGCACAAUGGGGGGAACCCUGAUGCAGCGACGCCGCGUGGGUGAAGGAGCACCUCGGUGCGUAAAGCCCUAUCGGCAGGGAAGAAAAGCGAACAGGUUCGCCUGGACGGUACCUGACUAAGAAGCCCCGGCUAACUACGUUCCAGCAGCCGCGGUAAUACGUAGGGGGCAAGCGUUAUCCGGAUUUACUGGGUGUAAAGGGAGCGUAGACGGUCCUGCAAGCCAGAUGUGAAAGCCCGGGGCUCAACCCCGGGACUGCAUUUGGAACUGUAAGGCUAGAGUGUCGGAGAGGCAGGCGGAAUUCCUAGUGUAGCGGUGAAAUGCGUAGAUAUUAGGAGGAACACCAGUGGCGAAGGCGGCCUGCUGGGCUUUUACUGACGCUGAGGCUCGAAAGUGUGGGGAGCAAACAGGAUUAGAUACCCCCGUA